GACGAACGCUGGCGGCGUGCCUAAUACAUGCAAGUUGAGCGCUGAAGGUUGGUACUUGUACCAACUGGAUGAGCAGCGAACGGGUGAGUAACGCGUGGGGAAUCUGCCUUUGAGCGGGGGACAACAUUUGGAAACGAAUGCUAAUACCGCAUAAAAACUUUAAACACAAGUUUUAAGUUUGAAAGAUGCCAUUGCAUCACUCAAAGAUGAUCCCGCGUUGUAUUAGCUAGUUGGUGAGGUAAAGGCUCACCAAGGCGAUGAUACAUAGCCGACCUGAGAGGGUGAUCGGCCACAUUGGGACUGAGACACGGCCCAAACUCCUACGGGAGGCAGCAGUAGGGAAUCUUCGGCAAUGGACGAAAGUCUGACCGAGCAACGCCGCGUGAGUGAAGAAGGGUGUCGGAUCGUAAAACUCGGUUGGUAGAGAAGAACGUUGGUGAGAGUGGAAAGCUCAUCAAGUGACGGUAACUACCCAGAAAGGGACGGCUAACUACGUG
rnacentral:rRNA from 1 species